rnacentral:rRNA from 1 species
ACUCAAAUGAAUUGACGGGGGCCCGCACAAGCGGAGGAGCAUGUGGUUUAAUUCGAUGAUACGCGAGGAACCUUACCCGGGCUUGAAAGUUAUGGAAUGAUGUGGAAACAUGUCAGUCAGCAAUGACCAGAAACUAGGUGCUGCAUGGCUGUCGUCAGCUCGUGCCGUGAGGUGUUAGGUUAAGUCCUGCAACGAGCGCAACCCCUAUCAUUAGUUGCCAGCGGGUAAUGCCGGGGACUCUAAUGAGACUGCCUGUGCAAACAGCGAGGAAGGUGGGGAUGACGUCAAGUCAUCACGGCCCUUACGUCCGGGGCUACACACGUGCUACAAUGGUCGGUACAAUGGGAUGCUACAUGGUAACAUGAUGCUAAUCUCUAAAACCGGUCUCAGUUCGGAUUGAGGUCUGCAACUCGACCUCAUGAAGCUGGAUUCGCUAGUAAUCGUAGAUCAGCAAUGCUACGGUGAAUACGUUCCCGGGCCUUGUACACACCGCCCGU